AUUGAACGCUGGCGGCAGGCUUAACACAUGCAAGUCGAGCGGGGAAAGGUAGCUUGCUACCUAACCUAGCGGCGGACGGGUGAGUAAUGCUUAGGAAUCUGCCUAUUAGUGGGGGACAACAUUCCGAAAGGAAUGCUAAUACCGCAUACGCCCUACAGGGGAAAGCAGGGGAUCUUCGGACCUUGCGCUAAUAGAUGAGCCUAAGUCAGAUUAGCUAGUUGGUGGGGUAAAGGCCUACCAAGGCGACGAUCUGUAGCGGGUCUGAGAGGAUGAUCCGCCACACUGGGACUGAGACACGGCCCAGACUCCUACGGGAGGCAGCAGUGGGGAAUAUUGGACAAUGGGCGAAAGCCUGAUCCAGCCAUGCCGCGUGUGUGAAGAAGGCCUUUUGGUUGUAAAGCACUUUAAGCGAGGAAGAGGCUACUUGGAUUAAUACUCUAGGAUAGUGGACGUUACUCGCAGAAUAAGCACCGGCUAACUCUGUGCCAGCCGCCGCGGUAACAC
rnacentral:rRNA from 1 species